CCCACCAUGUCCCUCCCACAACACAUGGGAAUUGUUGGAGCUACAGUUCAAGAUGAGAUUUGGGUAGGGACAUAGCCAAUACACGUCCCCUUAUUAUUGGAUUUGGACUUGGGUUAGGUAAUUUUGGGGACAGCUUAAUGAUGAGGGCUUUCUUCUGGAUUAAAUGCUGUCAGGAAGUGAGCCAAUCUUAUUUGGAAGGAGGAAGGAGUGCACAGACACAGAACAGCAGACCCCAGGCUGAUGCGGAUGCUCUGCAGGAUGGUUGAUAUCUAACAGGAGGCCCCCAAGGUCUUUCUGUGAACACCAAGCCAGCUCCUAAGAGCUCCAAGAUCUCGUUGUAAGUGGCAGGCCAGUCUCAGGGCAUCGGAAACUCUUCUUCUCUUUCUCAAUACAUAAUUUAAAAUUGUUUUUCAUUUUCUGUGAUCUAAGAUUUAUUUUUUAAAAAUAUUCACUGAGCCAUAAACAAUAUAAUUGUUAUAUCCAAUUUACCCAAACAAUACAAAUGUAUAGCAUACUGUGAUUAUGAUUAAUCAUAAAAAUUUUAUUAGAAAUUACAUCUCCUGAUGAGAUAGAAAGGAAAAUAUUCAGGUAGG
rnacentral:lncRNA from 10 species